GAUGAACGCUGGCGGCGUGCCUAAUACAUGCAAGUCGAGCGAACAGACGAGGAGCUUGCUCCUCUGACGUUAGCGGCGGACGGGUGAGUAACACGUGGAUAACCUACCUAUAAGACUGGGAUAACUUCGGGAAACCGGAGCUAAUACCGGAUAAUAUAUUGAACCGCAUGGUUCAAUAGUGAAAGACGGUUUUGCUGUCACUUAUAGAUGGAUCCGCGCCGCAUUAGCUAGUUGGUAAGGUAACGGCUUACCAAGGCAACGAUGGGUAGCCGACUUGAGAGGGUGAUCGGCCACACUGGAACUGAGACACGCUCCAGACUCCUACGGGAGGCAGCAGUAGGGAAUCUUCCGCAAUGGGCGAAAGCCUGACGGAGCAACGCCGCGUGAGUGAUGAAGGUCUUCGGUUCGUAAAACUCUGUUAUUAGGGAAGAACAAAUUUGUAAGUAACUAGGCACGUCUUGACGGUACCUAAUCAGAAAGCCACGGCUAACUACGUG
rnacentral:rRNA from 1 species